GCGGAGAAAAUGUAAACCAAUUACAGGGGAGAAUAUUUUUCUUUGCUGGGGCUGCAAUCUCAUGGACCACCUUGUUUGCUCCUCUGCGAAUCCAUCUGAACCUGAUAUCCCCUUCUUUGGCAAAAUGUCGGAUGUCCAAGACUUCAGCACUCACCUCCCAUGGAGGGACUAAGAAGUAUUGCUUGUUUAUUAUCAGCUUCUACCUCAACUCCUCUGAUUCCCAGAUUGAUCGCCAUAGCACAAGCUGCUCUGAUUGCUCGAAGUUCACCACUAAGAGUGGAGCUUGCUACUAUCGUACGAGUCAGACCAGCAGAUGGUUCCAGAUGAUCACAGCUUUUGAGAGAGCGGGCGCCGUUUGGCCAAAAUCCCCGCACCCGCAACCAACCCCCCCCCCCCCCCCUUCGUCGUUGCUGGAAUCUGCUUGGAUAUCUCGAAUCUCGACGACUGAUCCCCUUGUGCACUUAAGCUCUCUUCUCUUAUCCGUGAAAACCCAGUGAACCCCAAAAUAGAGCUUUUUAGAGAGAGAGGAGACGAGAAAGAGUAAAUUGAAGGUUUUGAUUCAGAUAAGGGUACAAAAGUUAGAUUUAGAGGAAGCUCUGGUGGUUUAUCUGGCACCGCAGUAAAGAAUCGUGGGUACAACUUCGUUCCCUUUUUCUUCAAUUUGCCUUAGCUAUUUGUGUAUUUAUUCAUAUUUUAAUAAAAUAUGUGUUUCUUAUGCUCCGCCCAUGGCCAGAGGUCUACUUUUGUUUCUUGAAAGUUCCUUUGCCCGUCGUAUAUUUGAGAAUGCUUUGUUUCUUGUACUCGUUAUCGUCGAAUCGUUCAUGUCUAAUCUGAUUAGGGUUUUGUUUUGUGAAACCUGUAAUUCUUUUAGGGUUUUCAUGUGUUUUGUCUCAGACACUUUUUGAUUCGCGAAAGUUGAAAAAUUAGGGUUUUGUUCUUAUUCUUUUUGACAACCAUCGGAAUUUAUCAAAAAUUCAUUAGUGGUUUUUGUUUGGACAUGGGAUUUUUGAACAGGAAAGAUUAGGGUUUUGUGAAGCUAAAUUUUUCCCCUUUAUUGGUUGACAACCAUCGGGAUUUAUCAAAAAUUGUUAGUGGUUUUUGUUUGGACAUUGGAUUUUUCAACAGACUAGGGUUUUGUGAAGCUAAAUUUUUCCUCUUUGUUCGUUGAAGUAGUUGAGUUCUUGAAUUUUCUUGGUGGAUAAUUGUGUGGUUUGUGUACUCUGUUUGUUUGGCAAUUUUUUUUCCUUGCAUACAUUUGACGUGUUCUCUGUUUUUGGUAAAACUAGGAUUUCUAUAUCUUUUGAUGAACUGGGUUUUAUCAAUCCUGGAAUUAUUCUCCCUUGGCUUUUGGUGUUAAUUCUGUUGUUGGGUUUCAGAGUUAAGUUACUAAAGAACAUGCAAUUAGGGUCGUGUUCAACUCUGGGGUUGUAAAUGAAAAAUAAAAAAAAGAGAGAGAAAAUGAUCGGAAAAGAAAAGGAAGUAGAUUUCAUGUUUUCCUUUUUUUCUGUUGGGUAGGUAUAAGUACAUAUGCAUAGUUUGUGUGUCGUUUCAAUUGUUGUUUUGUUGGCUUUGUUAGGGCUAUUUCCACAUUUAUAUUUCUGGGUGAUUGUGAGGUCUUUCUAUAAAUACAAAAAUGUGUGUCCCUCUUCCAAUUUGCCGUCAAUAUGUUACUGGAGUAGUUAUCUAGGUGUAAUUUUAUUACGGCCUUCUUUAGCACCAUGGAUGUUUGAGUUUGGCUGUUGUUACGUUCGUUUGAAUUCCGUUGGACAAGAGUAUCUCCAACGCUUAUGUUUUUGGGCGAUUGUAGGGUCUCUUGAUAAAUACAAAAUGCAUGUUCCUGAUUGAGUUUGUCAUCAACAUGUUGUUCGAGUAGUUAUGCGGAUGUAAUUUCCCUGCUGUGUCCUUAUUUGGAUAGCUAUCAGUUUUUUAUUAAUAAAAUAAAUUGUAUGUGUCAUUUCUAGCUUUGUGUCGUUGACUUGUUUAAGAUAGAAUUACCUUUUACUCUGUUUCCUGUUUUUUUCCCCAUUUAUUCCCAUGGUUUAUUGGUUAGUGUUCAAAGGUUCAGGUGGUUUUAGGGUGUUUAUUUGCCUCUCGACGUAGACCAUGUCUGUGGCUACGCGACUGAUAAGAUUUCGUCGUCUCUUGAUGAUUCAAACCCUAACUGAUCUUCGUCAAAACCAUAAACCAUCAACAAGCUUUUGCUGUUUAUCCCGCUUGUUUUUUGGACUAUAGAAGGUCUAAUUCAAAGGUCUGGAAUCCUCUCUCAGGAACGAAAGUUAUUGUGAAAUCUCUUGCCCUUUCAUAUUCAGGACGGCAUCCAGAAGAAUGAAGCGUCAGAUGUUAUAGCAGAGGGAUUAGAUACACUGGAAAACAUGGCUAAUGACUUGAAUGAGGAGAUAUGACAUUAGUUGAGGGAAAAAGGGCCUCAAUACCCUUCCAGACCAGCAGUUGUCUACCUUCAAUUCCAGGUUGAUAGGGCAACUUCAGACCUUAAAAAUGCUAAUGUGAGACUCAAGGAUACGGUGACAAAGGACUGAUUAGUUGUAUUUGCUUGUCGGAGCUCCAGCUAUAGGUAAGGGAGUUCUUCUCACAGUUUAUUACUCUCUGUUUUUGUUUUGAUAAGUUUUGGACCUUCUGUGUAUUCUGAACUCCUAAAACAACGUAGAUGAGCCACAAUUAUUGCAUUUUUGCUGGAUGUUUUAUCCUCUUAUGUGGUGUUGCCUGUAUUUUCUCUCAGAUACUGUUUUAGUUAAUAUAAUAAAUUUUCAUUGAUUACGGUAUUGGAACCUGAAAAUAUGACAUACUCUCCAUAGUAGGACUUAUGAGUGAACGAGUUCCUUAUUUUUGGUUCAGUUUUGUUGUAGCUUGCGGCCCACAUAAAUCUUUGAAUGGACAAAUUUGAGCUAUGGCUACAGGAAUGCUAAAGGCAAUUGAAGUCUUCAACCAUCCCAUAGGAAAAGAGAAAAAAAAAAAAAAAAAGGUCUGCAAAACCCUACAAAAAUUCCAAUAAGGAAUACAAUGUAUAGGUUUAUUCCUAUGAAUCGAAUUGUUAACUGCAUCAUAUAUUGUGUAGAUGCGGCAGAGCCUUCACAUGAAAUGUCCAAGUGCAAGUUUUAAGAUCUAAUUUAGAGAUUUUAGUUGGAUGUCCGGCAAAGAUAAGUUGUGUUAACAAAGAAUUGCUUUUAUGAUUUUGUACCCAUGAGCACUACAUUCGAAUCGCAUUGGUAAUAACAGACCAAUCUAAUAAUGUAAGAGGUGUAGUGGUUUUUUUUGGUGUGUAAACAACACCAUAGCACUGCUGAAUGAGGUGUAGUUUUUUUUUUUUUUUUAAUCUUGGCCUUUUUGGCUGGUUCACUUUUGAGUAUCCCUUUAACAAAUUUGUUGAUAUAUAUUUACGAGAUUUGUUGACUUUCCAUUUUUAUUGCAAGGUCAUAUGUGGAACUUGCAAUUUGGUCGAUGUGCCUGUACCUGAAGUAAUGUAUUCGGGAAAACUUAUCAAUCAAGCAGUCAUUUUUAAUUAAACCACGAUAAGCAUGAUUGUAACUUGAUUUAGUUUUCUUUUGGCAGGAAAAAACCUUUUUUUCCAAUGACACGCGGUCUGUCUUUCAAAGGGGAUGUAGAUGCAAAAUACUACAAGAAAUUGACAGAACAAUUUCUCACCAAUUACGAGCUUGUGAAGCCUCAUUCAUCGAAAGAGGGAGUAGUGUAAGGUAGCCAUUAUUAGCAGCAGUUAACUUAUUUUCUGAUUAGUGUGGCAAGAAAUAUUUGGUAUUUGAACACUUUAGUUGGCUCACUGUGCAAGAGUAGCAUUAUUCGUCAAUCUGGAAACUGGAAGUACUUGUGCUUAUGCGAAUGAGAUUUAUAGCGAGGGGGUACUAUUUGGCAUA